AACAAAUGAUCUCCGAUUGGGUUUUUACACGGCGCAGAUUGUGAUCCUGUUACCAUAACCGUACGAUUCUCAGCUCCGGGGAUAAACGAAGGGUGUAGAUUUAACCAACGUCUUCGUUUCUCGUCCCAGUUUUUAACCGGUUUUUCGAUUGUGUAGGUUAGAUCCGGGUCGUCGUAGUAAACCGGGUCGGUUGGAUCUUGGCUCAUAUCGAUUCCUGAAGAACAUUUGUUGGAGGAUUCUUCGUUUUUCACGGUGAGAUUUGGGGAGAUUGAAGAGAAGGAGAAGAAAGACCAGACGAGGAUUAGUGAC
rnacentral:lncRNA from 1 species